rnacentral:lncRNA from 1 species
AUGCGACUCGGAACGGGUGGCUCCCCCGCGAGGUUAAUCGAUUUCGAGAACAGAAGGAGAAAAGGACAAAUGGAGAUCUCAAACAUUGACAGUGUCAUUACUCCCAGGCCCAUAUUGUUUUGGCUGAUGUUGGGGAGAGUGGAGACAUAAUCCAUCAGCCCCUGAGACAGGUGAGAGUGAAAGACGGAUGGGGUGUGUGUAUUUCAGGGAAGGGGAAGAGUUUCCCAAUGUGCUCACUCAAGGCUUUAACCUGUCUGUGUGUUGGUUUCAUUGCAGCUCUCCUGCCAGCAGCCCCUCCUGCCGUCUGGUGGAUGGCUGAGCUUUGACUCACCAGGGUGAACAGUCAGAGGACUAAAAUAGACCAGGGGUAAAACACAGCCUGUGACAGACCGUCGGGUUACAUGUUAGAUGACAAAACACAAUGUCUUACACCUGUCAGAAAACCCUUCAGGUCUGGUCUAGAUUCUGUACUGGGACACCUGGGUUGGAGAUUAAAUGUAUACAUCACAAGAAAAACAUUUAUGAAACUGUGUUGAAUAUUGGUUGUGCCAAUUCCAAAUAGUUUACUAUACGAAGAACAGGGUGAUAUUUGACCAAGAUCUUAUUAAAAUUUAUAUUUUUAACUCUUCCUAGUGUGAUUUGGACUUCUCUGAGCAUAACACUGGAUGCACUUUCAAAAGUAGUUAAACAUAUGUAUCUACUGUAAAUGAGAAAUGUUUUUUUAACAUCUUGCAGGGUUUUGUCGACUGUGUCCAUAGCAGGACUGUCUGUCUGUCUCAGCCUCGUUGUAGACUGCCCGUCUGUCUCAGCCUGCUUGUAGACUGCCCAUAGCAGGUCUGUCUGUCUCAGCCUGGUUGUGGACUGCCCAUAGCAGGACUGUCUGUCUGUCUCAGCCUGGUUGUAGACUGCCCAUAGCAGGUCUGUCUGUCUCAGCCUGGUUGUAGACUGCCCAUAGCAGGUCUGUCUGUCUCAGCCUGGUUGUAGACUGCCCAUAGCAGGACUGUCUUUUCAAAUGAAACCCAGUAUGAUCCACUAUAUACACAGUAACACUGUUAAUCUUGUACAGGUAAUUUAUUAACAUACUACUCCUGACUAAUGUGUAUAGCACAUAUCCCUCACAUGCAAAUGAAUACUGGCCCAGAUAGAUGUUUUGUGCUGUACUGCAGGGUUUGACAGUACAGCAGAGAUUGGUUUACACCUAGUGGGAGUAGGUUGUUAUUAGGUAUAAUAGAAAACUGGCAGUGGUUUGUAAAGUACUGUCUGAAUACCUCUGAAUUGGAAAAAUAAAGACAAAUGGCAUGUAUAAAAUUAUUGGCACCCCAAAUACUUCUAGGAGCCAUUUCUUUACUAGUAAAUGAG